rnacentral:rRNA from 1 species
GAUCAUGGCUCAGGAUGAACGCUGGCGGCGUGCCUAACACAUGCAAGUCGAACGAAGCAAUUAAAAUGAAGUUUUCGGACGGAUUUUUGAUUGACUGAGUGGCGGACGGGUGAGUAACGCGUGGAUAACCUGCCUCACACGUGGGGGAUAACAGUUAGAAAUGACUGCUAAUACCGCAUAAGCGCACAGUACCGCAUGGUACGGUGUGAAAACUCCGGUGGUGUGAGAUGGAUCCGCG